rnacentral:rRNA from 1 species
UACAGAGGUCUCAAGCGUUGUUCGGAUUCAUUGGGCGUAAAGGGCGCGUAGGCGGUCAGCACAAGUCAGUUGUGAAAUCUCCGGGCUUAACUCGGAAAGGUCAACUGAUACUGUGUGACUAGAGUGCGGAAGGGGCAACUGGAAUUCUCGGUGUAGCGGUGAAAUGCGUAGAUAUCGAGAGGAACACCUGCGGCGAAGGCGGGUUGCUGGGCUGACACUGACGCUGAUGCGCGAAAGCCAGGGGAGCGAACGGG